rnacentral:lncRNA from 1 species
CGGCAUUUCAUCGCCAAUGUCCACAUCUUCUUCCCCAGCAUCACCUUUCUUCGGCUUCUUUGACUUGGUUAAAACAUCAAUUCUGUCACUAGAAGGGACAUCCUAUGCCACAACAGAACCAGUGAGACAAAUUAAGGAAGGAACAUAAAGAACAAAAGCAAAGUCACAGGUUUAUAACUUAAGCAGAUAAAGAAUAUACCUUGUUGUCUUUACUCGUAGCAGUUCCCCCAAUGUUAGGGAGAAUCAGU